UUCACGAUGGUUUUUGGGGCGGAGAUGGUGGAGACUGCGUUUGUUGUGGUGGUAGUGGUUGCUGAGAUUGAACCAGAGUUGGGUCCCAUGAAUGGAACCAGCUGGGCUGAACCAGUGGUUUGAUUAUGAUGAUGGUCUAUGUCGUUCUGGUGGGGCUCCAUUGCUUAAUAAAAUUAUAAAUUAUGCAAGAAAAUGGAAUAAACUAACAAACAAACUUGUACUGAUGUUUUACUUAUAAACCACCAAUAAACCCCGUUUUGAUCUGUGAUUUUCCUAUUUUAUGUAGGAAAAAAAAAUUCAGAAGAGGAUUCUGGGAAACUUUUUUUUUUCUUGGUGGGGCUAUGAAUUUGUGUUGACUGUUGUCUUUUGGAGAGAAGGAGGAAGAUGAUGAAACAGCCAAGUAGAAAGCGAGAGGCUUUAACUUUUUUUUUUUU
rnacentral:lncRNA from 1 species